UCUUCUUCUUCCUCAAGCUUCAAGAAAGCCAACAAUGGCCACCCUAUCUUCUUCCUCUUCAAAACCUCAAAACCACCCAACUCCCAUGGCUGCCCGUACCUGCUGCCUCACGUUCUUCUCCUUCAAACCAACCAAACCCUAAACCAUCGUCACCCCUCCAAAACCUCUCCGGCGAUCCUCCAUUAAAUCCGACGACCACUGCUGUCCGCCAUCGUCUUCCUCACCAUCUUGCCCAAAUGAUCCCUCAUUCCACGUCAAGCAGCAGCAACUGCUGCUGCGUUGUCCAAACUAUCCCUCACGUCCAUACAUUCCGUCGCCAUAACCAGCUCGAACACCCGAACCACCACCAAACGACCAUCGUUGUCAUGCCCGCUACUACUGUGCCGUGCUACUGCUGCUGCUCGUGUUGUUGUCUUCAGCUGUUACUGUGUCGCGUCCGCCUUCAUCUUCUUCGUCGAGCUCAAGCUUGAGCUCGACGUCCAUGGUCUCCACUCCUUCGAUGAGCUUUCCGCCAUGGUUGCUUCCAAUACACCCAGCUCCAGCAUCAUUAACGUCAAACAGAAAUUCUGGACAACAUUUUCGCACCAUUUCUGUUGAUCUUCUUGGAUUUCAAUCUGAGUUUCGAAGUGAUAAAAGUCAAUCGUUCGUCCGGGAGCAUUCAAGUGAUUUUGGGGCGAUAAUCAUUUCCGGACAGAUUUGUUUUCAUGCAAGUUCAUCGUUGAUUCAUCUCCGGUACAUAUCUGUAAAUUCAUGUCACGAAAAGCUUCAACAUGACAAAUUAAUGAAGUUCGGGAAUUAUAAUUCUGUUUUCCAUUCGUUCAAGUUCAUUAGUUAAAAAUUUGGUUUUUGUUUCAGUUGAUUAAUAUAGUAGUACGUUUGGCGUAAUGAAUAUAAGAUAAUUGUUACCUCUUAAAAUUCGUUUAAGUGUUGUAAUAAUAUCAUCUAUUUCCGAAUUUUCAUUAAGUGAAGUCAUGAUUAAAAUAUCAAGGUAGGGAACAUGGCAUAAAAUGGGCCAUUAAUUACAUCCCGUAAUAUUGUUAGCUAAAUGUAAAGUAGAAUGGAAGUAUCAAUAAAUUACAUUAUUAGUAUAUCUUUUAAAAAAAAAUCUGAUUUUCGUUUAGAUUGAUAUAAGUUGUAUGUUCAUAUAUGGCAUGAUGAUGAGUAUAUAUAUAAUCAUAUGUGGAAGGUGAGUUGAUACAAUAUUAGGAAUGGUUCAAACGUACAACUAUAUUGCAUGUGAUGUAAUUUUAUUGAAUCAAUUUGUAUAAUAGUUCUCUUUCUUAUCAA